UACGGGGGGGGCAAGCGUUGUUCGGAAUUACUGGGCGUAAAGGGUGCGUAGGCGGCGCGGUAAGUCGGGUGUGAAAUCUCGGGGCUUAACUCCGAAACUGCAUUCGAUACUGCCGUGCUUGAGGACUGGAGAGGAGACUGGAAUUUACGGUGUAGCGGUGAAAUGCGUAGAUAUCGUAAGGAAGACCAGUGGCGAAGGCGGGUCUCUGGACAGUUCCUGACGCUGAGGCACGAAGGUCAGGGGAGCAAACGGG
rnacentral:rRNA from 1 species